rnacentral:tRNA from 1 species
GGGGUUGUGGCUCAAGUGGUAGAGCGCUCGCCUAGCACAUGUGAGGCACUGGGUUUGAUCCUCAGCACCACA